rnacentral:rRNA from 1 species
GAUGAACGCUGGCGGCGUGCCUAAUACAUGCAAGUCGAGCGAACAGAUGAGGAGCUUGCUCCUCUGACGUUAGCGGCGGACGGGUGAGUAACACGUGGAUAACCUACCUAUAAGACUGGGAUAACUUCGGGAAACCGGAGCUAAUACCGGAUAAUAUAUUGAACCGCAUGGUUCAAUAGUGAAAGACGGUUUUGCUGUCACUUAUAGAUGGAUCCGCGCCGCAUUAGCUAGUUGGUAAGGUAACGGCUUACCAAGGCAACGAUGCGUAGCCGACCUGAGAGGGUGAUCGGCCGCACUGGGACUGUGACACGGUCCAGAGUCCUACGGGUGGCAGCAGUAGGGAAUCUUCCGCAAUGGGCGAAAGCCUGACGGCGCAACGCCGCGUGAGUGAUGAAGGUCUUCGGGUCGUAAAACUCUGUUAUUAGGGAAGAACACAUGUGUAAGUAACUAUGCACGUCUUGACGGUACCUAAUCAGAAAGCCACGGCUAACUACGUG